AACACACAAGCAUGCAAGCGCACAAAGCAAGUAAGAGCAAAUAGAGACUUAACUAUUAUAUUUAGGGGCACUAACUAUAAUCUAAGGGGGAAAAGAAUAAAAUAAUAAAAUAACUAUCUAACUAUUACAUAUUCUAUCUAAAUACAUGUCUUGAACUCCCUAACUAUUACAAUUUGACAUUUAAAUGCCUCUCAAAUAAUCAAAAAUUAAAUUAGAAUCAAUAUACAAAAUUAAAAAACAAAUAAAGUGAAUAAAUAAAUAAAACAAAAUAAAAUUCAAAAAAUAUGCAAUUACACACAUAAAUUCACAUAGGAUCAAGUAAAAUAAAAAAUAAAGGAGUAGAGUGUAUCUCCCUUGAAUUGGUGACCUAAUGAGACGAAAUUUCUCUUAUUUAUCUUCCAAAACAAAGAAAAUUGUCAAGGCACCACUUUAAUUAAUACAUAAUCAUAAGAGAUGGAAAUAAACAUGAAAUUGAACAAUUAAAGCAUUUAAAUGAAAGUAAACAACCUAUAUUUAAAAAUUUAAAAACAAGUGGGGACUUAAUUGAAAGAAUUAAAGAAGUUUGAGGGGUCAAAUUAUUAUUAUUACAAAUAUUAAGGGUUUAAAUUAAAAUAAAAUAAAAUUAAGGACUCAAAACAAAGCCUAUCACACCUAAUGAUAAAAUUCACAAAAAUAAAUGAAUACCCACUUGCUCCACUUGCUAAAAUUAAACAACAAAAAGAAUCACCUAAAUAUUUAAUUUUUUUGCUAAAACCCAAAUCAAAACUAUAAAUCUAUCAAAACUAUUAAACCUCAAAUUUCAUCCUAAAACUCAUAAAAAAAUCUGUCCAAAAAUCACAUUAAAGCAUACCAAAGAAAAUUAACAUUUUAAGGGACAAGAAUUGAUUUUUUUUCAAUUUUCUGGGCCAUAGUAGCAUUAGACAAAAAAUGGAGCCAAAAUACAAUUUUCAAAAGUUCCCAUGCAAGUAAUCGCAUCUUUCUUGUUCGAAAGCUUUCUUUUUCCCUGCAACCUUUCUGGGUUCAUCCGAAACAAAUUCCAAGCCAACAAGAUUAUGCAACUUAUACUUUUUAUUUCUAAAACUUAAAUGCUCAAGAUUCACAAACACAAAGGAGAGUAUCAAGGAGAUCAAACAUGGCAAAGCAAUGGAACAAAAAUCGUCAAACCCCAGCAAAGGUUCCGCAAUUCGCACACAAGAUGGGCUCUAAUUUUUACCAAAAAGAAACUUUAAACCGGUACAAAUAAAAUCCAUGAAUACCUGGAAAUGUUUGUGAGUUCUGACAGCGAGAAAUGUUCCUUAGAAUGCUGACUGGUUCGUGAGAUGAAGUCAAGCAAAUUUCGUCACAGUGGGGUGCAGCAAAAACGAACCCGUGACUUGGAGCUUCGAUUUGGUUGUCAUGGAGGGAUUUUUGAUGAACGAUUUCUUCACAAAAGUUGCUUUCGGGUAUCCAUAGAUGAUGUAUAAAAGCUAUCUCUUUCAAAAAACUAGAAAUCAAGUCGGAAAUUGAUCUACAAGGAGGCUGAUUGAUCAGCCUGGUACCAGAAAUUUUUCCAGCAAAAAUAUUUUCCCUUCCUUCGCUGAUUUCCUCUCACUUUUCUUUCCUUUGCCUUUUGUUUUCCUUUCUAAUCUUCCCCAGGUUUCCCCCCUUUCUCCUCUCUUUCUCUGGUUUCCUUUCUUCCUCCCUUUCUCCCUUCCUUUCUUUCUCUCUCUCUUUUCCUUCGCUAUCCCCAGAAACCCUUUUCCUUUUUCCUGUUUUCCCCGAAGCUCUCCCUCUCUUUCCAUCUUUCUUGUUUUUUGUCUUCUGAUCUCCGCCACCCCCUCUCAAUCCCUCCUCCCUCUCUCAGUUCUUUCUCUUCCUUGUUUCCUCCUUUCCCUUCAGCCGUUACCUCCUCUUGGGGUUUCUUUUUUCUUGCCCGAAGCCUUCUUGCCCGCAGCUCCCUCUUCCUUUCUUACUUGUUCCAGAUUUUUCCCUCAUCUUCCUACACCUGUCUUGUCACCUAGCCCCUUGCAUGUGUUGUGCAAAAAACCAAGACACAUGUCUAAUGCUCACCUAAUACACUCAGCUACCAUGCAUGCCUUCCACCUAUCUUGUUUUCUUUUUUUGUUUUUCAAAAAAAAUUUAGGGUAAACAAAAUAUUAAUUCCUAAUUGAUUUUUAUUUGGAAGAAUUUUAUUUUAUUUGGAAGAAAUUGAAUUUGAAAAGACUAAAAAUAAUUUUUUUCUGAGAAUUUUCCCUUUUUCAGAAAUUUAAUGCAAAAAACAUUUUAAAAAUGAUGAACCUUAUUCAAUAACAAUAGGUAAUUAUCAUUUUGUGAAUUUUGAUUAACUAAAAAUAAAAUAAAAUAAAUAAAAAUAGAAUUAAGAAGAAUUGAAAUUUUGGUGUCUACAGGCAUAAAGAAAACAGUGAACUUUUCAAAUAUAGUGUUGCAAUUUUGUACUUGAAACAAGAAAAAAUAAUGCUGGAUAAGUGAAUUAAGUGGAGUAUAAAGAUAAGUGGAAGAACUGGAAAUUUAGAUGUGAUUAUAUUAAAUGGCAAUUACCAAAAGUAGUAAAUGUUAGUAUUGUGAACAAAAAUGUAAUUAAAAAUUAGAUGAAAAUUAGAUUUUUGCAUAUGUGCAUGUUGGAGCUGAAGUCCCUGCAUAUUGUUUAAUCAUAACUAAUAGUAUUUUGUUGUAAUAAAAAUUAAAACAUAUUAUGUUAGUAAAUAAAUUUUUUAUCCAAAUAAAAGGAAAAAGAAAAGAAUCAAAGAAAAUUCGUACCAUGACACAAAUGAUGAUUGUGACAAGUGUCAACUAAUGAAAUAUCAGCCUCGUUUGGUAAAUGAUUUUUUUUUGUGUUUGUCUAAAACUUUACUGUAAUUUACUGUAGAAGUUGUAGGAAAAAUUUUUGAAAUAUGUAAAUUUUUUGGUAUUUUGAAGUGUAUAGUUUAAAAUUUUUGAGAAGUUUUUUGAGAUGACUGUAGUUAAAGUUGUUAAAAAACAUGCAGAAGACAAACUUGGCCAAAAACUUGUUUGUUAAGUAAAGUCAUUACUGGAGUUAAAUAAAUUUUAGGUAUUAACAUGAGAAUUAGUUAGGCAACAAUUGAAAAUUUUGCUUGGAUAUUUGGAAUAAGGAGAAAGAAUGAGAAGGACAAAAAAGUAAAAGAAAGUUAGUGGAUUUGCUUAAGGAUUGAUAUUCUAUAUUUUAUAUACUAAUAACAUACACACUGUCAGUUUUUUAUAAAUGACAACUAUACAAAAUUUAUAUUUGGAAUCGAACUUUUACACGUACGUCAUAAAUCCAACAGCAACGAUGUAUACAUUGCCUACGUAUAGGAUUUACUCUUCACUUAACCACCUAUGAAUAUUUUAGUUUCAAUAUGGAUUUAGAUUUAAAUGAGUCAUUCGAAUCCAUCAAAUCAAAACUCGCUAAAUAAAUAAGUCUAAGUAGCAAUGUAUAAGCAUAACAAAUAAUCCAAAAUUGAAUUUAGCUUGAAAAAAAAUACACGUGACAUGCAUUUGGACUAGUAUAUCUACUUUCAAUAAAGAAAAUAUUAAGCCUUUUUUGUACUAUCUAUACAAUAGAUAAAGUUAAAGAUUAGGAGCAUUAUCAUGUAGUGUUUACACACGCUUAAUAUUUUCUAAACUUUCAUUUAUACCUUUAUUAUUAAGAGUAUUUAAUUUUUCUUCAGAUAAAAAAUUAUGAUUUCAAGGGUAGUUGUGUCAAUUAAUUAAUUACACUCCCUCCUGUUUUAAAAUAUGAACUUAAAUUAUGUUAGUAAUUGGCCAAUUGAAAUUAAUUACCAAAAAAUUCACCAUAUCAUAAAUAUCCUUUACAAAAACUAAUUUUCAUGAAUAAUAUUUUUACAAAAAACCAUAAUUUUGAUUUUGAUUACUUGUGCACACCUAGAAAGUGUCUUACGCACUAAUAUGACAUUAAGUACCAAUUGUUCGUUGACUUUUUUUUUCUUUACUUGCAAUUGAUCAUUGAUUUAUUUUGCAUACUCUCAAAACAUUAAGGUUAAAAAAAUUUACAUCACAUAUUUCAUGAAUUUUCACAAAAAUUUAUCUACACAAAUUUUACCAUCAAUCAAGUUUAGCAUAAGUCAAUUUAUUUCAUGUACUUAAAAGGCAUUCAAUAAGUUGGUCCCUUAAGGAAUGAGUUUCAAAAUUAUUCAUAGUGAUGCUUAUCAUUUGAUUAAGGUUAAUUGGAAUGAGUUAAUAGAUAUCGUAGGCUCAUUUUGUGAUUGACUAUUAUUUUAAUAAGGAAUCAAUAUUUAUUUACCAAUGUAAUUGAUAUUUUUAAUUAAAAAUAAAAAGUUAACAAAUAAUGGAAGAAAUUAAGAGAGUAAAGAAAAUUUAGAAAAAAAAAGAGUAGGAAAAAGAAAAAAAUGUCGACCUAUUUCUAUAUUUUUAGUUAUAAAACACUCUAUGGUUUUCAACAAAAAAAUCCAUUACUAUUAACUAAUAAAUAGUACUUAGUGAAUGUAGGUGCAUUGUUAUUAUAAUAGAAUACUUAAGAAAGUUUACGUGACAAUAAAUAAUUAGGUGUUUAAAAAGUGUUAAAUCAAGAUGAACUUGAUAUACUUUAAACUCUUUAGAGAAAGAGAUAGAAGACACACUUCAUGAUAAUGUGGAACAAAUGGGAUCUAACACUAGAUUAAACUGAGUUAAUGAAUUUUGUACAUACUAAAUAAAAAUGUCGUCCGAGUUCCCAAAAUGAUAAAGAUGCCACUUUAAAAUAAUUGGAAAUGUUGCAUUGGGUCAAGAAGAUCUCAUGGAUGCUAGAACCGAAGACAGGAAAGUGGCAUCUUUAUUCCUUCUCUAUAACAGGCUCUAUUUUAGGGAAGUUCCAAAAAACAAAAACUGGUGGCCACCACCAAAGUAUUAAAUCUUGAUGGGGUGGGAGGCAAUUUGCCACAAUUAAAUGUGGUCUUACUUAAAAAAUCCAGGCGGGUGCGUAGUGCACCCGUCUGGCCCGGUGGUGGUUCAGUAUCCUUCGGGUUACCUUUGGACCUCUUCAGGUUUUUCCCCUCCCUCAUAGUAUAGGAAGCUAUGGUAUCGACCAAAAAAAAAAAGAAAACAGGCUCUAUUUUAGGGAAGUUCCAAGAAACAAAACUGUGGGCCCCUUGUUCAUUACCGUUUCUAGCAUGUCUGGGACUUCCUUUAUUACAGAGAAAUUGACAUAAAGAGCGCUUUGUCCUAGCUACAAUUUUCAUUUUUGUCUAUCAUUUAGGCCAUUUAGCUGUGUUGUCCUAUUCCUGUUACUUCUUCCCACCGUGCAAAGAUGACUCAGCUUUGCACCAUAGAAGCAAUUAUUCGUUGGUGGAACGAUUUUUUUUCUUUUUUCUUUUUGUAUUUAAAUGGCAAAAGAAAAAAUAACCUAGGGCUAUUUCUCAAAAUUAGCCUCUGUCACUAAAAACAAAGGUUAAAGGGAUAAAAACAUGUGAAGUUAUCUUCUCUUUUCAUUGUGUUUUAUUUGUAGUAAAUAAAGUCUAAUUUGAAAGAAUCCAUUGCUUUCUUAGUGAUUAUCAUUGAAUAAAACACUUGGAAUAGCUAAGGGCAUUCUUAGUUCUACGUUGAACUGGUAUAAGAGAUGCAAGAAACUAGAAGCAUAAAGAUACUGCAUGCUGCUGUAUUUCUUUCAGCAUGCAGCAUGUGUGAGAACCCAAAAAUUAUUUUAUAUUUUCUCUUAUUUUUUAAAAAGUUAAUUUAUAUUUUCUUUUAUUUUACUUUAUUAGCCUUAAAUUUUAUGGUGAUUUUAAAGAUUAAGGCAAGAUUUUUCUCUUUUCCCUUUUAUAAUUUGGUGCAUGUUAAGUUUUGUAGAGUAUUAUGAUAGUUUGAUUGAUUAGUGAGGUGUGCGUAUUAUAUUUGGUGGACGAGAAUAGGUGUGGUGCUAGAGAAAUUAUGUAAUUAGAAUUAUUGAGAGUGUAUUAGAGGAAUACAAGAUAGAUUGGUUAUUGAGACGAAAGAGAGACAAAGAGAUAGGAAUGGAAUCAUGUUGUGCCAAGUGUCAACGCUUGAAACUUCCAUUGAGCAAGACUUUUCUCUAGUCUUUCUCUUACAUUUUAACAAAAAAUUUCUUCAUUUUUUCUUGCUCUUGGCCGAAAUUAAGAGAGGGAAAUAGGAGAGAAAAACUUCCACCGUUCAUCUUGAUUUCCUUGCUUGAUUUGUGAAGAAUCCAAAGGCCAACCUUAAUCCACUCCAAUAAACGUUGAGUUAAGCUUGGAGGUGAGCCUUUGAUGGAGUUAUUUGAGGAAGAGAACUCUUGAGUUGCUUGUCAUUUUGGAAUUUUGAGGUAAAUUUUCUAGAUAACAUCUCUUUUUACUUGUCUCUUGAGAUUUAUGCAAGAUAUGUUAUGAUUGAAGUUAAAGGAAGCAUGUUUAUGGUAAUUUAUGGUUUUGCUAGGGUUUGGGGAAGUUGUUGCUAGGGUUUGGUCAAUUUCCAGCUUUAAUGUUCAAUUUUCUAACUUUGAGAUUAAUUUUCAGCUUUCAUAAGAGAUGUUUUAGCUUUGAUAUGUGAAUUUCAAGCUUGGUAUGCAAAUUUCCAGCUUUGAAAGGUAAAAUUCCAGCCUUGAUGUAGUUACUUGAAGCUUUACAUAUAUAUGGAGUUGUGAUGGAUUUUCUUGCCAAGAAUAUACGUCAUAAGCCUCAUGACAUGUUAGUUAUAAGAUAUAGUACAUUUGCUAUGGAAUUAAGUAAGAAAGUUGGGAAUUUUGAUGGAAAAUUUCUGUUAUGGCUGGCCGAGAGGGAAAGAAGGAAUUUCAGCUUUCUUUUCAAAAAUUUUCUCAAGACAUUUGUGAAAACCUUACUCUUCAUAUAUAUGUUGAUUUUGAGCCAAAACAAAAAGGUAUAAGAGGGGAAAAACCUAGUUUUCCAAACUAUUUGCUUGCUAGAAAUUUUCGUAGGAGGCUCAGCGCAGUUUUGAGAAAUUUGCUAUAACUUCGUAUAGAAAAGUUAGAAUUGAGUUUCAUUUGUUGCUUUUGAAACUAGACUCAUAGAUCUUCCAACGAUAUAAAAUCCAGGGUUUGGUUCAAUUUUUAUAAAUACCAGCGAAUUGGUAAAAUUCUCUUAAAAAUCAUGACUGUUCUGUUUCUGCACUUAUGAUAGCAGUAAGUUUUAAACUGAAAUUUGACUAAUCUAUGAGUUGAAAUUCAUGAAGGUGUCUUCUAAAGCUUGUGUGUAAGUUUUGUGAUUUUUCGACCUACAGAACUCAAAUUAUACCUUUUCAAAGAAUGUCGCUAAAGUUGGGAAUUUUAUCAAAUGGAUUGAGUAGGACUUGGAAAACUUUAGAAAACUUUUCUGGGUUU
rnacentral:lncRNA from 1 species